rnacentral:ncRNA from 1 species
GAGAGCACAGUACGAUGAAAGUUGUAAGCUGUGUUCAGAGGGUUAUUGUCUAUCGUUGGCCUCUAUGGUAGAAUCCGUUGGGGCCUGAGAGGCGGUGAUUUACCCUGU